AGCUGUGGAGUCCACAGCUUGGCUUUGGUGAGCAAAACUAUGCCCUGAAUUGACAGACAGGAAAUACCCUUUGUUAGGAGGACUGGAGAAGAAUGCCCAGAUACCUUGGCCACUACUGCCAUCUCCUGUUCAGAGUGGCUCACCCAGAACUGCCUUUACACGCGUUUGCUGUAAAUUCAAGUGUCAUACCCAGGCCAAACUGAUUCCAGGUGAGAGUCAGGAAUAUUCCCCCAUGCAUUUGAGGCUCCCUGGCAGCCUGUUCAGGAAGCAGCAUCUUUUGGUGGCCAGUGUCAGAAGGUAGUGUGAACAGGAUUGAGGAAGUGAAGACUGAUGUUUGCAGGAAGAGGGAACUGGAAAGAAGAGGUCUCUGUGAGGUGGCGACGUGGUCAAAGAUGGAGGAAAAGAAGACGGCAAGGUGCAUCUACUCUGAGUGUCCUGCAGGAAGCACCACUCUGAAACAGAAACCUCUGUGCAGGCCAUGUGCAAGAGAAUCAAAGGAACAUAGAAAAUCGGACCCUCUUCUGAUUUCAAGAGGGGUCAUCAAAGAAGCCUCAGAUGAAGCUGACUUUUCCAGAUAAGAAGUUAUGGGUAUCCUUGUUGUAUUAUAUAUCUCACCAUCCACCAAGGCUUGGAAAUAACUCACAGCUGCCAUCUGCAAGCUGGAGACCCAGGAAAACUGGUGGUGUAAAUCAGUUGGAGUCCCAAAGCCUGAGAACCAUGGAAGCCCAGGGCAGAAGAUAGAUGCCCCAGCUCAAGCAACUGGACUUGCCUCAUGGGUGUGUCGUGGUGGAAAUAAAAGUGUAAAUGCAAUAAUGCCAAAUGAUGACACUCAACCCUGAAAUAG